UGGGAUUUGUAUCCCCAUAAAGGCACACCCCUAACUCACUGAGCUUGCUCACAUUACUUGAAAGCAGCCUCUAUUAAGUAGACUCUUUCAAGUAGGAGUUAGAAAACCAGGAGUUCAAACAAGGGGUUUAAACUAACAAGGUAAUUGUUUUCAUUUUCUGUUUCUGGGGAAAUGAGUGUUAGCAAGAUUGCUGGUUUGACUCAAU